rnacentral:ncRNA from 2 species
UACGGAGGAUCCAAGCGUUAUCCGGAUUUAUUGGGUUUAAAGGGUGCGUAGGUGGUUCAUUAAGUCAGGGGUGAAAGACGGCAGCUUAACUGUCGCAGUGCCUUUGAUACUGAUGAACUUGAAUGAACUAGAGGUAGGCGGAAUGUGACAAGUAGCGGUGAAAUGCAUAGAUAUGUCACAGAACACCAAUUGCGAAGGCAGCUUACUAUGGUUUGAUUGACACUGAGGCACGAAAGCGUGGGGAUCAAACAGG